rnacentral:rRNA from 1 species
UACGUAGGGAGCAAGCGUUGUCCGGAUUCACUGGGUGUAAAGGGUGCGCAGGCGGGAAGGUAAGUCGGAGGUGAAAUCUCACAGCUCAACUGUGAAACUGCCUCCGAUACUGCUUUUCUUGAGUUCGGGAGAGGUUGAUGGAAUUCCAGGUGUAGCGGUGAAAUGCGUAGAGAUGUGGAGGAACACCAGUGGCGAAGGCGACUCUUUGGUCUGUAACUGACGCUGAGGCGCGAAAGCGUGGGGAGCAAACAGG